GCAUCCUGCCUGUAAGAUUGGGAUAACCCCGGGAAACCGGGGCUAAUACCGGAUAAUACUUUUCGUUGCAUAACGAGAAGUUGAAAGGCGGCUUUUAGCUGUCACUUACAGAUGGGCCCGCGGCGCAUUAGCUAGUUGGUAAGGUAACGGCUUACCAAGGCGACGAUGCGUAGCCGACCUGAGAGGGUGAUCGGCCACACUGGGACUGAGACACGGCCCAGACUCCUACGGGAGGCAGCAGUAGGGAAUCUUCCGCAAUGGACGAAAGUCUGACGGAGCAACGCCGCGUGAGUGAUGAAGGUUUUCGGAUCGUAAAACUCUGUUGUCAGGGAAGAACAAGUGCCGUUCAAAUAGGGCGGCACCUUGACGGUACCUGACCAGAANGCCCCGGCUAACUACGUGCCAGCAGCCGCGGUAAUACGUAGGGGGCNGCGUUGUCCGGAUUAUUGGGCGAAAGCGCGCGCAGGCGGUCCUUNAGUCUGAUGUGAAAGCCACGGCUUACCGUGGAGGGCAUUGNAACUGGAGGACUUGA
rnacentral:rRNA from 1 species